rnacentral:rRNA from 1 species
UACGUAGGGGGCAAGCGUUGUCCGGAAUCAUUGGGCGUAAAGCGCGUGUAGGCGGCUUGGUAAGUCCGUUCUGAAAGCCCGGGGCUCAACCCCGGGAGGCGGAUGGAUACUGUCAAGCUUGAGUCCGGAAGAGGCGAGUGGAAUUCCCGGUGUAGCGGUGAAAUGCGCAGAUAUCGGGAGGAACACCAAUGGCGAAGGCAACUCGCUGGGACGUGACUGACGCUGAGACGCGAAAGCGUGGGGAGCAAACAGG